rnacentral:rRNA from 1 species
GAUGAACGCUGGCGGCGUGCCUAAUACAUGCAAGUAGAACGCUGAAGGAAGGAGCUUGCUCUUUCCGGAUGAGUUGCGAACGGGUGAGUAACGCGUAGGUAACCUGCCUGGUAGCGGGGGAUAACUAUUGGAAACGAUAGCUAAUACCGCAUAACAGUAGAUGUUGCAUGAUAUCUACUUAAAAGGUGCAAUUGCACCACUACCAGAUGGACCUGCGUUGUAUUAGCUAGUUGGUGAGGUAACGGCUCACCAAGGCGACGAUACAUAGCCGACCUGAGAGGGUGAUCGGCCACACUGGGACGGAGACACGGCCCAGACGGCUACGGGAGGCAGCAGUAGGGAAUCUUCGGCAAUGGACGGAAGUCAUACCGAGCAACGCCGCGUGAGUGAAGAAGGUUGUCGGAUCGUAAAGCUCUGUUGUAAGAGAAGAACGAGUGUGAGAGUGGAAAGUUCACACUGUGACGGUAUCGUAUCAGAAAGGGACGGCUAACUACGUG